UGCUGGCCGUUUCCUUCGGCGAUUUCGACUUCUGUUCUCCGACAUCGUCAGCGAUCACCGGCGAUGUAGCCUUCCUAGCUACCGCUGGACUCUUGGAGAAGUAGGAAAACAAGCGAGGUCAUCCUUCGUCAUCAGAAAAGUCAACUUGCUGCCAUCCUCGAGUUGGAAACAGAUCACCUUCUGUCAUGCAAAAACAGGCAGGACGGCUCCACCCACCUUAGGGUUGACGUAAUGCAAACCCCUGACGUUCUCCAGGUAGUGCCUCUUCCACACACCCGUCUC